rnacentral:rRNA from 1 species
UACAGAGGUCCCGAGCGUUGUUCGGAUUCACUGGGCGUAAAGGGUGCGUAGGUGGCGAUGAAAGUUCGAUGUGAAAUCUCCGGGCUUAACCCGGAAAAGGCAUUGAAAACUAUGUUGCUUGAGGUUUGGAGGGGGACUGGAAUUCUUGGUGUAGCAGUGAAAUGCGUAGAUAUCAAGAGGAACACCAGUGGCGAAGGCGGCUCACUGGCCCGGUACUGACGCUGAGGUGCGAAAGCGUGGGGAGCAAACAGG